rnacentral:rRNA from 1 species
ACGGAAGGCAGCAGUGGGGAAUAUUGCACAAUGGGCGAAAGCCUGAUGCAGCGACGCCGCGUGAGUGAAGAAGUAUCUCGGUAUGUAAAGCUCUAUCAGCAGGGAAGAAAAUGACGGUACCUGACUAAGAAGCCCCGGCUAACUACGUGCCAGCAGCCGCGGUAAUACGUAGGGGGCAAGCGUUAUCCGGAUUUACUGGGUGUAAAGGGAGCGUAGACGGUUUGGCAAGUCUGAAGUGAAAUGCGGGGGCUCAACUCCUGAACUGCUUUGGAAACUGUCGAACUAGAGUGCAGGAGAGGUAAGUGGAAUUCCUAGUGUAGCGGUGAAAUGCGUAGAUAUUAGGAGGAACACCAGUGGCGAAGGCGGCUUACUGGACUGUAACUGACGUUGAGGCUCGAAAGCGUGGGGAGCAAACAGGAUUAGAUCCCCUGGUA